CUUAGUGGCGGACUGGUGAGUAACGCGUGAGGAACCUGCCUUCCANAGGGGGACAACAGUUGGAAACAGGUGCUAAUACCGCAUAAGCGCACAGGGCCGCAUGGCCCGGUGUGAAAAACUCCGGUGGUGUAAGAUGGACCCGCGUCUGAUUAGCUUGUUGGCGGGGUAGAGGCCCACCAAGGCGACGAUCAGUAGCCGGCCUGAGAGGGUGGACGGCCACAUUGGGACUGAGACACGGCCCAAACUCCUACGGAAGGCAGCAG
rnacentral:rRNA from 1 species